GACGAACGCUGGCGGCGUGCCUAAUACAUGCCAGUAGAACGCUGAAGGAGGAGCUUGCUCUUCUGGAUGAGUUGCGAACGGGUGAGUAACGCGUAGGUAACCUGCCUGGUAGUGGGGGAUAACUAUUGGAAACGAUAGCUAAUACCGCAUAAUAACAGUUGUUGCAUGACAACUGUUUGAAAGGUGCAAUUGCAUCACUACCAGAUGGACCUGCGUUGUAUUAGCUAGUUGGUGGGGUAACGGCUCACCAAGGCGACGAUACAUAGCCGACCUGAGAGGGUGAUCGGCCACACUGGGACUGAGACACGGCCCAGACUCCUACGGGAGGCAGCAGUAGGGAAUCUUCGGCAAUGGACGAAAGUCUGACCGAGCAACGCCGCGUGAGUGAAGAAGGUUUUCGGAUCGUAAAGCUCUGUUGUAAGAGAAGAACGAGUGUGAGAGUGGAAAGUUCACACUGUGACGGUAUCUUACCAGAAAGGGACGGCUAACUACGUG
rnacentral:rRNA from 1 species